rnacentral:misc_RNA from 1 species
CAUUCCCCCCAUCUGUCCCUGGGGGUGGUCUGACAUCAGCAGAGUACUGGUCUGUCCCUUGGACUGUCUAUACUUUACCCUUGAAGGGUGUCUUAUCUGGACAGAUCUGUCUUUGGGAAUGGUCCUUUAUGAACAGAUUGUCUGUUUGCUGAGCCACGGAGAUGGUCUUAUGAAGACAGACCGUCCAUUAAAGGAUCUUUGUGGGUGGUCUGGUAUAGAGAAACCUUUUGUUUACUGAGCCACUCUUCAGGCAGCAUUACUAUGUGAUACGAGAUCAGCUGUCUACUUAUACAAGCUUUAUUUUUGUCAUGUGUGUAGCCAGAUGUAUUAAUCAAGGUCAACUUCAGUAAAAGUCUAUGUUCAAAAUUCACCUGAAAUUAAAAUUAAAAUGUUUCCUUUCAUUUAUCUUGGAAUGUUUUGUUUUUUGAUUCAUGCUACAUGUGCUUAUUUUUAUCAUUGUCUGCCAUUGAAGACCAUUUUAAGAAACAUCAUUUCUAAGCUUCAACCUUAUACAUGUAUUUGCACACCUCUGACAAAUCAGUUGAUCUUUGUAUAAUUUCUUAAUGUCCAUCAGUACCGGUAAUUCUUUUUGUCCAUUUUGCCAGUAUUGUUAUAGAAUCAAAUUUGAAUAAAACUGAAAUUUU